rnacentral:rRNA from 1 species
AGAGUUUGAUCCUCGCUCCAGAAGGAACGCUAGCUAUAUGCUUAACCAUGCAAAGUCGAACGUUGUUUUCAGGGAGCUGGGCAGAAAGAAAAAAGGCUCAGCUAAAAGGUAGCUUUCUCGACCAGGAGGUGAGACAGUUGGAGGAACAAAGUGGCGAACGGGUGCGUAACGCGUGGGAGAGCACUUAGACGUCUACUGACUCCUGAAAAGUAACGCGGAGAGAGCAAACUGGCGUUGAACGAAAGUAGAGCUAAGAAUAAUGUAGCGAAUAGUGCGUCGAGGUGAAGGUCCGGCUGUGUAACGUAUACAGUGUGAGAUGGCUCCGCAAGUAAGCAAUGGCAGUGCACUGGCAACACUGCCCAAUGCAAUUUAGUAGCGCUCUUAGCCUGGCUGCUUUCUACUCCGGAUGAUCAGCCUUGGCUCACCUAUCACGGACUUGGCAAAGACUUUCUCGCAUUGACAAGCCGGCCCGGACUCGUCCAGCAGGGAGGGCCAGCAGAUAGCGAAGUGACAUAUUGCGCGUCGAUAUAGCCUACGAUCACAGCAAGAGUGGACGUGAGAGUCCGCACACGAAAGGAGCACUGCACCGCACAGAGCUUGUAAAGCUCUUUCGUUGAGUGCGCGAUCAUGACAGGAACUCGAGGAAGAAGCCCCGGCUAACUCCGUGCCAGCAGCCCGCGGUAAGACGGGGGGCAAGUGUUCUUCGGAAUGACUGGGCGUAAAGGGCACGUAGGGCGGUGAAUCGGGUUGAAAGUGAAAGUCGCCAAAAACUGGCGGAAUGCUAUCGAAACCAAUUCACUUGGUGAGACAGAGGAGAGUGGAAUUUCGUGUGUAGGGGUGAAAUCCGGAUAUCUACGAAGGAACGCCAAAAGCGAAGGCAGCUCUCUGGGUCCCUACCGACGCUGGGGUGCGAAAGCAUGGGGAGCGAAACAGGAUUAGAUACCCUGGUAGUCCAUGCCGUAAACGAUGAGUGUUCGCCCUUGGUCUACACGGAUCGGAUCAGGGCCCAGCUAACGCGUGAAACACUCCGCCUGGGGAGUACGGUCGCAAGACCGAAACUCAAAGGAAUUGACGGGGCCGCACAAAACGCUGGAGCAUGUGGUUUAAUUCGAUACUACGCGCAAAACCUUACCAGCCCUUGACAUAUGAACAACAAAAAACCUGUCCUACGGGAUGGUACUGACUUUCAUACAGGUGCUGCAUGGCUGUCGUCAGCUCGUGUCGUAGAUGUUUGGUCAAGUCCUAUAACGAGCGAAACCCUCGUUUUGUGUUGCUGAGACAUGGCUUAAGGAGAAGUCUUUGCAAACCGAAGUAAGCCAAGGAGCGAGUGACGUGCCAGCGCUACUAAUUGAGUGCCAGCACGUAGCUUGCUGUCAGUAAGAAGGGAGCCGGCGCCUUUCUAAGUACUUUCUAGUUAGCGCUUUCGUUUUCAAUAAGGACGUUAGGCUUUACUAAUAAAAUAGAAAGGGCUUUUCUCGCUUGUUUAGUAAAG